AGAAACAUGUCCGAUAACAGAGUUACUUUGAUGGAGUAAAGAAUAGAGGUCAAGCCCUCUUGUUUCUA
rnacentral:tRNA from 1 species